UACGUAGAGUGCGAGCGUUGUCCGGAAUUAUUGGGCGUAAAGAGCUCGUAGGCGGUGUGUCACGUCGGCCGUGAAAACCUGCAGCUUAACUGUGGGCGUGCGGUCGAUACGGGCAUCACUGGAGUUCGGCAGGGGAGACUGGAAUUCCUGGUGUAGCGGUGAAAUGCGCAGAUAUCAGGAGGAACACCGGUGGCGAAGGCGGGUCUCUGGGCCGAUACUGACGCUGAGGAGCGAAAGCGUGGGGAGCGAACAGG
rnacentral:rRNA from 1 species